rnacentral:tRNA from 1 species
GGUCUCGUAGCUCAACUGGAUAGAGCAGCUGCCUUCUAAGCAGCAGGUUGCUGGUUCGAGUCCAGCCGGGAUCACAA